UUGAGCGGGGCAAGGGACUUCGGUUCCUUGUUCAGCGGCAAACGGUUGAGUAACACGUAGGCAACCUGCCCCAGAGACGGGGAUAGCCCGCCGAAAGGCGGAUUAAUACCGGAUGUGGCCGGAGGGGACCUCCCCUUCGUGCUAAAGGGAGCAAUCCGCUCUGGGAUGGGCCUGCGGCCUAUCAGCUUGUUGGUGAGGUGACGGCUCACCAAGGCGACGACGGGUAGCUGGUCUGAGAGGAUGGUCAGCCAGACAGGGACUGAGACACGGCCCUGACUCCUUUGGGGGGCAGCAAUGAGGGAUAUUGCACAAUGGGGGAAACCCUGAUGCAGCGACGCCGCGUGGGUGACGAAGUCCUUCGGGAUGUAAAGCCCUUUUCUCGGGGAAGAGAACGGACGGUACCCGAGGAAGAAGCCCCGGCUAACUACGUGCCAGCAGCCGCGGUAAUACGUAGGGGGCAAGCGUUGUCCGGAAUUACUGGGCGUAAAGCGCGCGUAGGCGGGACAGAAAGUCCGGCGUGAAAGCCUCCGGCUCAACCGGAGAGAGCCGUCGGAUACUUUUGUUCUUGAGGGUCGAAGAGGAGAGUGGAAUUCCCGGUGUAGCGGUGAAAUGCGUAGAGAUCGGGAGGAACACCCAUGGCGAAGGCAGCUCUCUGGUCGACCUCUGACGCUGAGGUGCGAAAGCGUGGGGAGCGAACGGGAUUAGAUACCCCGGUAGUCCACGCCGUAAACGAUGGUCACUAGGUGUAUGCGGUAUCGACCCCGCAUGUGCCGCAGCUAACGCAAUAAGUGACCCGCCUGGGGAGUACGGCCGCAAGGUUGAAACUC
rnacentral:rRNA from 1 species